rnacentral:rRNA from 1 species
UAACACAUGCAAGUCGAACGAAGCACUUUGGAUGGAUUUCUUCGGAAUGAUAUCCUUAGUGACUGGGUGGCGGACGGGUGAGUAACGCGUGGGUAACCUGCCUCAUACAGGGGGAUAACAGUUAGAAAUGGCUGCUAAUACCGCAUAAGCGCACAGUGCCGCAUGGUACAGUGUGAAAAACUCCGGUGGUAUGAGAUGGACCCGCGUCUGAUUAGCUGGUUGGCAGGGUAACGGCCUACCAAGGCGACGAUCAGUAGCCGACCUGAGAGGGUGAUCGGCCACAUUGGGACUGAGACACGGCCCAAACUCCUACGGGAGGCAGCAGUGGGGAAUAUUGCACAAUGGGGGGAACCCUGAUGCAGCGACGCCGCGUGAAGGAAGACGUAUUUCGGUAUGUAAACUUCUAUCAGCAAGGAAGAUGAUGACGGUACUUGACUAAGAAGCCCCGGCUAACUACGUGCCAGCAGCCGCGGUAAUACGUAGGGGGCAAGCGUUAUCCGGAUUUACUGGGUGUAAAGGGAGCGUAGGCGGCCAUGCAAGUCAGAAGUGAAAGCCCGGGGCUCAACCCCGGGACUGCUCUUGAAAC